UGCGCAGGCGGAGCGACAAGUCAGUGGUGAAAUCCUACGGCUCAACCGUAGAACUGCCAUUGAUACUAUCGUUCUUGAGUACAGUUGAGGUAGGCGGAAUGUAGCAUGUAGCGGUGAAAUGCAUAGAUAUGCUACAGAACACCAAUAGCGAAGGCUGUUUACCAAACUGAGACUGACGCUCAGGCACGAAAGCGUGGGGAGCAAACAGGAUUAGAUACCCUGGUAGUC
rnacentral:rRNA from 1 species